rnacentral:sRNA from 1 species
GCCAGGUGUGGUGGCGCAUGCCUGUAACCCCAGCAGUUCAGGAGGCUGAGACAGGAGGAUCAUGAGUUCAAAGCCAGCCUCAGCAAAAAGUGAGGCCCUAAGCAACUCAGUGAGACCCUCUCUCUA